UGGACUUCUUUCUAGUCAGCUGGUGGAUUGUGAAAGCAAGAGGGAAGGGACAAUCAUUAAGAAGUUUUUGACGGCCCUGUUCGGGCCUGGAUGUGUCAUUCUCCACAUUCUGUUAGAACGUAGUCACACUGCUUCGUUCAAAUGCAAAGGUGCCUGGCUGCGCGGUUUCCGGAGCGGCAGUCCUGUCCCAACAACAGGUACCAUUCUUGUAUUCACUUUGCAGAUUCCAAAAAUUUGUUGAAGGCCUUUGUCUGCGACCAUCUCAAUUCCUGUAAGUUUAUUCCUUUACCAAUAUUUUAUUACUUUACUAUUACACUUAAUUUAUUGGAGAAUAAGAAAAGAGA
rnacentral:lncRNA from 1 species